AUGAAUGAUGCUCUUCUCGCCCCCUAUACGGCCGAGGAUGUUCGAAAGGCCUUAUUUGAUAUUGGUGAUUUAAAAGCGCCAGGUCCUGACGGACUCCAUGCUAUUUUUUACAAAAGAUUUUGGUCUAUGUUGGGAGAUGACCUGACCGAAGAGGUUCUUCAAGCGGUAAAUGCCUGUUCUAUACCAACAGGGUGGAAUGAUACUGCAAUUGUAAUAAUCCCAAAGAUUAACUCUCCUGAAAAGGUAACCCAAUUUAGACCAAUCAUCUUGUGCAAUUUGGUGUAUAAGGUUAUUUCAAAAAUGAUUGUUGCUCGUCUAAAGAUAAUCCUAUUAGAUAUUAUUAGCCCAACUCGGAGUGCUUUUGUGCGUGGAAGAUUGAUUACAGACAAUAUCUUGGUGGCAUAUGAAUGUUUCCAUACAAUAAAAAACAAAAGGGCGGGUAAAGAGGGUUUGUGUGCCAUCAAAUUAGAUAUGCACAAAGCAUAUGCCUGAGUGGAGUGGUGUUUCUUGAAGGAAAUUAUGCUGAAAUUGGGUUUUAAAGAGAUUUGGGUGAAUUUAAUUAUGAAAUGUGUGUCCUCUAUGGAGUACCGGGUCUGUAUUAAUGAUGAUGAGACAAAGAGUUUUAAACCAACUAGAGGAUUGAGGCAGGGAGAUCCCUCUCCCUACUUAUUCUUAUUAUGUACAGAGGGUUUGACUAUCCUUUUAGCUAAUGCGGAGGAGAAUGGAAACAUUUUCGGUAUAAAGGUUUGCAGAGAUGCCCCAUCAAUUUCUAAUCUUCUCUUUGUUGAUGAAUCUUUGAUCCUUAUGCGAGCCAAUCCCAUGAGUGCGGAGGCGUUGAAAUCACUUUUGGAUUCGUAUUGUGCCGCUUCAGGGCAAAUGGUUAGUGUUGAAAAAUCUAGUAUAUUCUUUAGUCCUAAUACUAAAGUGGAAGACAAGGCACAAAUAUGUACAAUUCUAAAUAUUAUGGCUGAAGCCCUCAAUGACAAAUACCUGGGUUUGCCGGCAAAUGUGGUCAUGGACAAAAGUGAUUGUUUCUAGUUCCUGAUCGAUCAAAUUAUUAUGAAAAUUAGUGGAUGGAAGGAAAAAUUGUUAUCCUCUAGAGGGAAGAAAAUUUUGCUCAAAUCUGUUGUACAAGCCAUCCCCACCUAUACCAUGUCCGUCUUUAAAAUUCCUAAAAGAAUUGCAAAGGAAUUAGACGUGGUGUCGCAAUUUUGGUGGGGUGACGAGGACAAUCAGAAGAGAAUGCAUUGGAUGACGUAG
rnacentral:rRNA from 1 species